GCCAGGCAUGGUGGCGGGUGCCUGUAAUCCCAGCUACCAGGGAGGCUGAGGCAGGCGAAUCGCUUGAAACCAGGAAGUCGAGGUUGCAGUGAUCUGAGCUCACACCACUGCACUCCAGCCUGGGUGACACAGUGAGACUCUGUCUCAA
rfam:Pan troglodytes isolate Yerkes chimp pedigree #C0471 (Clint) chromosome 1, whole genome shotgun sequence.